UUCAAAUGAUGAUUUUAUUCAGUUCUGCUUCUGAAAUUUUAUUGAAGCAAGCUUUACCCACAUUCCUGAGUU